CGGUAAUUCCAGCUCCAAUAGCGUAUACUAAAGUUGUUGCAGUUAAAAAGCUCGUAGUUGGAUUUCUGCGGGGACGGAGCGGCCGGACGCAACUUGCGUCUCGAGCUAGCGCUUUCCCCGCAUCCUGCCGCGAACCGUGCUACCAUUAGCUUGGUGGCGCUGGGGAUCGGCUCGAUUACUUUGAGAAAAAUAGAGUGUUCAAAGCAGGCCACACGCCUUGAAUAAGUUAGCAUGGAAUAAUGACUAAGGACUUCGGUUCUAUUUUGUUGGUGUUCGGGACUGAAGUAAUGAUUGAUAGGGACAGUUGGGGCGGUCUGUAUUCCAAAGCGAGAGGUGAAAUUCUUAGACCUUCGGAAGACAAACAGCUGCGAAAGCGUUCCGCAAGGAUGUUCCCUUUGAUCAAGAACGAAAGUUGGGGGAUCGAAGACGAUCAGAUACCGUCGUAGUCUCAACUAUAAACUAUACCAGCUAGGGAUCGGUCAACGUUUAAUCAUUCGACUUGAUCGGCACCUUAUGAGAAAUCAAAGCAUCUGGGUUCCGGGGGGAGUAUGGUCGCAAGGCUGAAACUUAAAGGAAUUGACGGAAGGGCACCGCCAGCCGUGGAGCCUGUGGCUUAAUUUGACUCAACACGGGAAAACUUACCAGGUCCGGAAAUAGUAAGGAUUGACAGAUUGAUAGCUCUUUCUUGAUUCUGUGGGUGGUGGUGCAUGGCCGUUUUUAGUCGGUGGAUGUGAUCUGUCUGCUUAAUUGCGUUAACGGACGAGACCCCAGCCUGCUAAAUAGCGCGGCCGAGCCUUGCUCGGUGCGAGCUUCUUAGAGGGACCAUGAUGCGCGAUAGCACAAGGAAGUUUGGGGCAACAACAGGUCUGUGAUGCCCUUAGAUGUUCUGGGCCGCACACGGGCUACACUGGCGCCUGCAACGAGCAUAUCAGCUGGCCCGAGAGGGUCUUGGCUAAUCUUUGGAACCGGCGCCGUGCUUGGGAUUGACCAUUGCAAUUGUUGGUCAUGCAACGAGGAAUGCCUUGUAAACGCGAGUCAUCAGCUCGCAUUGAAUACGUCCCUGCCCUUUGUACACACCGCCCGUCGCUCCUACCGAUGAAUGUUCCGAUGAAAUUUUCGGAGAGCACCAGAGAACGGGGCUCUGCCUUGCAGAUCUGGAGGCUCAAAGUCACUUAAAUCUGAACAUUUCGAGGAAGGAGAAGUCGUAACAAGGUAGCCG
rnacentral:rRNA from 1 species